UCGUGCUAGGUGGGGAGUUAGCGGUGCCCUGUAACCGGCAACCCGCUGUAGCCGGACUGAAUUCCCAUUCGAGGCUCGUCCGUCUUUCGGCCAGGCCGACGCCACGUGGUGUUGAUGGGCUGGUCCUGCGCGGCAACGACCCGCGAACCCCGCCAGAUCGGGAACGAAGCAACGGUAAGUGGUGCUCGUUGGGUGCCGCAGGGCAACCGGGCCGGAGCAAGCGAGCGUAGGGUCGCGGAGGGCGGCGGGUCGACGGUGGGUGCACGA
rnacentral:SRP_RNA from 1 species